rnacentral:tRNA from 1 species
GCGGGCGUAGUUCAAUGGCAGAACAUCAGCUUCCCAAGCUGAGAGUGCGAGUUCGAUUCUCGUCGCCCGCUCCA